GACAGAGGGUGCAAACGUUGUUCGGAAUUACUGGGCGUAAAGCGCGUGUAGGCGGCUAAGUAAGUCGGACGUGAAAUCCCACGGCUCAACCGUGGAAGUGCACUCGAAACUGCAUAGCUAGAGUCCUGGAGAGGAAGGUGGAAUGCUUGGUGUAGAGGUGAAAUUCGUAGAUAUCAAGCGGAACACCGGUGGCGAAGGCGGCCUUCUGGACAGUGACUGACGCUGAGACGCGAAAGCGUGGGGAGCAAACAGG
rnacentral:rRNA from 1 species